UACGGAGGAUGCAAGCGUUAUCCGGAAUGAUUGGGCGUAAAGCGUGCGUAGGCGGCUAGGUAAGUCUGCUGUUAAAGAGCGAGGCUCAACCUCAUAAGAGCAGUGGAAACUACAUAGCUAGAGUGCGGUCGGGGCAGAGGGAAUUCCUGGUGUAGCGGUGAAAUGCGUAGAUAUCAGGAAGAACACCGGUGGCGAAGGCGCUCUGCUGGGCCGCAACUGACACUGAGGGACGAAAGCUAGGGGAGCGAAUGGG
rnacentral:rRNA from 1 species